rnacentral:rRNA from 1 species
CAGAGGGGGGCAAGCGUUACUCGGAAUUAUUGGGCGUAAAGGGCGCGUAGGCGGCUUUGCAAGUGACGGGUGAAAUCCCUCGGCUUAACCGAGGAACUGCCUGUCAGACUGUGAGGCUUGAGACCGGGAGAGGUGAGUGGAAUUCCCAGUGUAGCGGUGAAAUGCGUAGAUAUUGGGAGGAACACCAGUGGCGAAGGCGGCUCACUGGACCGGAACUGACGCUGAGGCGCGAAAGCGUGGGGAGCAAACAGGAUUAGAUACCCUGGUAGUCCACGCCGUAAACGAUGAGUGCUUGGUGUAGCGGGUAUCGACCCCUGCUGUGCCGAAGUCAACACAUUAAGCACUCCGCCUGGGGAGUACGAUCGCAAGACUG